rnacentral:lncRNA from 1 species
UCACUGGCUUUCUUCCUAGCCUGGUGGAUAAUUGCAUAAGCAUGAUUCCAUCUGGUUUCAGGUUCGAAUGCUAGUAUCGACUGAGAUGGCGAGUGGCUGAAUGAUGAUGAUCAUCAAGCAUGCAUGCAUCAGUAUGCCCUGUGUGUCUCCGUGUGUGUGUGUGUGUGUACGUACAUAUAUAUGGAAAUGGAUCCUCUCCGGAUCACCAAAAUGAGGUAUUUCAAAAUACCUCUGUUUUUUCAAUACAUUAGGCAUUUAUGAACACAUUUUUUUUAGAAAAUGAGAAGAAAAGAGAGAACGUUUUUUGUUUUUUGGGGGGGGGGGGGGGGUGGGCCGGGGGGAAGGUUUUUGUUUUUGAUAUUUUUUUGGGGGGCGGCAGGGGGGGCGAUAUGAGAGAUAUUUUAACAUCACAUGUAGGUGAGGCUUCAAUAAAAAACAUUAAAAUUUAGACAUAUGAAAUUACAUUGUUGCCCAUCACCUUUUUUGUGUGAUAGAAGACUAAAUUGUCUUUUCACCCUCUUUUGGUUGACAAAGAGGGUUUCAUUAAUUAAUAGAGAUUUUACUCCCUUUUUUAUUUUAUUUUAUUUCAUUUAAUAGAUUAACAUCAAUCAUGUCACUUGUCGAAUGAUAUUCUUCUCUACUUGUAACUUAAUGUUUUAAGUAACUUAGUCCAAAUCCUUCACCGCACCGUGUAAACAUAUCAUUGUUUUCAAAACACCAAUCAUAAGAUAAAACAUUAAAAAAAGCUUAGCUAUGUGCAUUUUACAUUUGUUGAAAAUAGUUAAUUGCAGUAAUAGUUCCUGAAUUUUAGUUUAAUUGGAGCUUUGGUCCAUGAGCUAAAACUAUAAGGAAAACUAAUAAAAAUGACUGAAAACUUUGAGUUUUAACAACAAGGACAAAAUAAAAGGUAAAGUGAAUAAUAUCAGGAUUGACUUUUUAGUGUAAAAUUUUGGUUUUUCGUUAAAGUGAACAGUUCCGGGAAUUUUUCGUUAAAGUUCCCAAAAAUCUAUGAGUCCCUUAACUUCCUACAGUACGUGAUAAUGGUCUCUUUGAUAACUCCAGUAGAAUUUUUAGUUCAUAUUUGCUCUUGAAAUGCUUUAUUUCGGAUAAAAUAUCUACCAGCGUUAAUCAAAAGGACUCUCCAAUUUUUUUUCUAAUGACAACAAAAACUAAACAAUGUUAGAUGCUCAUUUUCAAAUUUUCAUAUGCCUAUUUUGUUAUCUAUAACCUCCUCUGCUAUAUCUUUUUUGGUCGAAUUUCUCCUACUACUAUAUAUUAAACAUAGUAAUAAUACUUCUUUUUUAACUAUUUAGGUUUUAGCUCGACUAUACGGUACCAUUUGGUACGUGGGACCGGACGGAACGGAGUGGGAUGAGACGUUCAGUCCCACGUUUGGUGCCCUUAAAAUGGAUGGAACGUGCUGUUCCACGGGACGAAUUUUGGGUGAAUUUUCGUUCUGCCUCAUCCCCCUGGAACAACUCGUUCCACAUCGUGAAACACAAAAUUAUAACCUCUCAUUCUUCUUCUUCUUCCUCCUUGUUUCCAUCUGAGGGCAUCUUUGCUCCCUCUCUGCUCCAUCCCGUCCCGUCCUGUCCCGUCCCAUCCCAUUCCGUUUCGUCCCGUCCCGUAUGCAUACCAAACGAUACCUACAAGAACAUGAGUUCCAACCAUAGUAUUGGACUACUCUCUGUCAUUUGUAUUUACCAAAAUAUAUAAUGAUGGGUGGUACUAGGUUGUGUUUAGAAAACUUAUUUAUCAUCGUGUUGAGAUUUAUAUUCAUGCAGAUUUCGAGUCGUUAGAAAUUAUCACCUAAAUCAACGUAUGCUAACACCAAUUUGAAUAAUUUGGUCAAUUUUGUGUCCACUCCUAAUAAAACCAUUGUAUACUUAUAUUUUUAUGCAUUGCAUACUUUAAUUCUUUGAAAUAUAGCUCAACUCAAGAUUUUCUUAGAAUGCUGGUAUGAGAUGAAAACAUAUAUAUUGAGAACAAUUGUGAGUCUAAAAUUACUAUCAAAUCAAUAUCCAUAUAUUGAGGACAAUUGGACUACUGUGAAAUCUUUUCUUUUCAUCCUAAUUUGUGUGUUUAGGGACUCAAAUUGUCAAAUUAAAUAUUUGUAGCCAAGAUUUGACAAAAUAUAUAUAGUAGCCCAGAUGAACUCAAACAAGAGGGGAUAUUUAAGGGGUCUUCCUGCGGGUGGGCCCACAUCCAAAUGGUUGAAAUGGAAGUACAAAUCGCACAAGUUAAUUUCCUUUCACGGAAGUAUUCACUGGUCUUCUUCCAGCCUUGUGGUAAAGUGCGUUAGCAUUUGACCCUCAUGGUUUCGGGUUCGAAGGCUGGUAUAGCUGAGAAAGAAAAUGAUAAUCCAACCAAAACCCUAGUUGCCACCAAAUGAGGUAUUCUGAAAAAUACCUCUGUUUUUAUGUCAAAUUACGUUGUUAAUAAACAAGCAUAUGCAUUUUUUUUAAUAUCGAACGAUAUUGUAAGACCUCUAUAAAGUUAUAAUUUUUUAUAAUUUUAAACUAAUUAUUACUUAAUAGAGGUGUAGUUAAAAAAUAUUAUUUAUUAACUUAUUUAUCCUUUAUGAAUGUUGUAUUUACUAAAUAGGAUUCAUGAGGAUGUCGUAUGGAAAUUUCAAUUUCAUGCCAAAAAGCUGUAAAUAUGUUUGAGAAGUUAAAAACAUUUUAGCUUCAACAAGAAGAUGUUCAUGUAAACGAAAUAUUACGUACUCAAAAGCUCAAAGAUGUGGAAUAAAUUCUAAAAGCUAAAGCACUGUCCCAAAUAACAAAAGCAUCUGAAUUUCUAGUAAUUAUAUUCUCAUAUGCAUAUAGAUCGGCAAACUUAUACAUCAAAUAAAUGCCAUGUUACAAAGGGUCAAAUUAAAACAAUGAAUAAAUAAUAUUGGUAAUUGGUUACGCCCCCAAACCAUUAAAUUCUAUUAUUUGCAUAAAUUUGCAC